rnacentral:misc_RNA from 1 species
AAGUCGUAACAAGGUUUCCGUAGGUGAACCUGCGGAAGGAUCAUUACAAAAACAAAAUCCAAACCACACCACUGUGCUCUUUAUUGUGAGAAAAAUGUCUUUGUGUGUUGCUGUGUUGUUUGUUGGGGGAGAGGAGAAGAAUUUAUUUUUCCCCUUUCUUUCCUUCACACACACACACACAAGCUUUUCCUCACAUGUCUUUGUUUUCAAUUUUUCAUUACUCCUUGUUUAACCAACAACGGAUUACAAUGUUAAAACUUGAAACAAACAAACAAAACAAAAUGACAACUUUUAACGGUGGAUCUCUUGGCUCGU